rnacentral:rRNA from 1 species
CCCUUAGAUGUUCUGGGCCGCACGCGCGCUACACUGACGAAUGCAACGAGCUUAUAACCUUGGCCGAAAGGUCUGGGUAAUCUCCAAAUUUCGUCGUGAUGGGGAUAGAUUAUUGCAAGUAUUAAUCUUCAACGAGGAAUGCCUAGUAAGCGCAAGUCAUCAGCUUGCGUUGAUUACGUCCCUGCCCUUUGUACACACCGCCCGUCGCUCCUACCGAUUGAAUGGUCCGGUGAAGCGUUCGGACCGUGGCCUUUGGACGGUUCGCCGUCUGUUGGCUGCGGGAAGUUCGUUAAACCUUAUCAUUUAGAGGAAGGAGAAGUCGUAACA